UCUUUCUGGAAAAGGAUGCCUUCUGAGCAGACUGCUGUGUAGAAAAUUCAAGAAGCCUCAGAAUGGACACCAUCUAUAUCAUCAGAUUCCUUUUGUUCCUGGAUUCAACUCAAAUGCACUGGCAUUUGGAAGUCAAAGAUUUGAAAGAGCUACAGGAUGCCCUAACGCAGUGUUGGUGAAGACGUGGCACACAGGCAGAGCCAGCACUUGGGGAGCUUCUCCAUUCCCCCUCUUCCCAGCGCCUGAGGACAUUUUUUGCAUGCCCCACCCCUCUAUCCAGAAGCCCAAAGCAAGCAGUUCCUCUCUCUCUCCACUCUCUCCGGUAAUGUGGGGGCUCACAGACACCUUGAAUUUGCCCUCUGAGCACUCGAACUUGGAAAAGGUUCACCAGUGCUGCCCUAAAGCUUCAGCUAAGCAGGCCUGCCCUCCCUGGGAAUGGCAGUUGGAUGGCAGUUGUUGGGGAUGUCAAGGCCCUUUUCCAUAGGAGCUGCUUCCCUGGAUGGUUCAGAAACAAAACUGAAGGUCAGAGGAGUCCUGCCACUCUCAGGGCUCUUCUAUCCAUCCACCUGCUGGUGGCAGUUGGUCAGCAGUUUUUAGUAUUGGUGAGGAGGAAUACAGGGUCUCUCUUCACAACAAUUUCUCUGGUCAAGGGGGAGGUACUGGAAAGCCUGGGCUGUGUAAUCAGAUCUGGUGGUUUGGGGAAUACUGCUAUUAAAUGCUACUAUGAAUA